AUCUGAUAGUCUCGUCAUCAUAUUCUUCUCACCUCCAUUGUGUACUAUAUUACCUGGUCUCCAACAGGGUAGACUUAAAAGAGCUGCAAAGAGAGAGAGAGAGAGAGAGAGAGAGAGUACCUUCUCCACCAGUGAAGAGAUUGAACUGGCCAAUGGCUUGCCUGAUGAACAUCUCGACACCACUCACUGCAAUAGCUCCGGCUUCCUCCGCUUCUUUCAGGAGACGAGUAUUUCUAGGCGUGUAAA